ensembl:lncRNA
CUGAUCACCAUUCGCUCUCCUUUGCACUUCACUUACAUUCUUAUUUUUUCUCUUUUUUUUCCGUUAAAUAAUUUGCCAGCUCUAUCCCACAAAUUUUCACAUUCAUAAUGUGAAAGCAGUUCAGAGUGCAGAAUGAACAGUAGGAAAUGGGAUGGGUAGGAGGAAAAAACGCUAAGAGGAGAGAAGUGACUGGGAUAGCGGAGAGGAGGAAGGAUCCGGAGCAACGGGAGAAAGAGCCGAACGUGGGAUCAACGAAACCGCGGGAAAAGGAGGAGGAACGACCAGACUGAUCUCAGUUCUUAUUCAGCUGGAAGAAAUGCCAGUUACAUAAAGGGCACCAUUUACUGCCAUUAUACAGCUUGGAAGAGCCAGGACAAUUUUUAAUAUAACUCAGAUUGGAUUCGUUUGAAAGAGGAAUUUCAGAUACACCUAAGAUGCCCUGAGAGUGAGAAUGCUGUGGAAAUACAGUUUGGAAUCAUCAUUGUUACUCCUUCUUCAAGACCGGAAUGAUGGAAAGAAUUUCAGCAUGUACGACUAAAUAUCAUUUGGAACAUCAUGUGGAUGAACAGAAGUCUUAUUGGAACAACAUUAUGGUCGCAACCUCAGAAGAUUUGGAGACGGCACUCGAUUUGAAGAUUUGGAGAAGAAACCGUCAUUGUGAGAGUGAUGCAUUUACUUUUUUUGUCAAAUGACAAAGGAAAGACGGAAGGUAAAGAAGUGUCGUCAUCCGAGAUUAGUAUGCGGUAUGUAUAAUGCAGUGCAUUUAUAUGUAUUUAUAUAAGUGUAUAUAUAUGUGUGUGUGUGUGUAGAUAUACAUGUAGAUAUAGACACACACACAC